UACGAAGGGGGCUAGCGUUGUUCGGGAUUACUGGGCGUAAAGCGCACGUAGGCGGAUAUUUAAGUCAGGGGUGAAAUCCCAGAGCUCAACUCUGGAGCUGCCUUUGAUACUGGGUAUCUUGAGUAUGGAAGAGGUAAGUGGAAUUGCGAGUGUAGAGGUGAAAUUCGUAGAUAUUCGCAGGAACACCAGUGGCGAAGGCGGCUUACUGGUCCAUUACUGACGCUGAGGUGCGAAAGCGUGGGGAGCAAACAGG
rnacentral:rRNA from 1 species